UUUUUUCUUCAUAGGAUUUUGGGAAGACUGAGGCAAUCGUUGCUGAAGUCAGUGUUGUAAUGGUGAAUCAAAAUUUUUAAUGAAGUAAGUUUGAUUACUCUUGACUGUUUUGUGAAAUCAAAAUUACGUCUGUGAUUGAAGAAUUAAAAGGGUGUCUAUAGGAUUGAAUAUGCAGAGUGAAUGAAAUUUAUUGGAUUAAUCUAACGAGACAAUCAAUGGAUAUAAGAUCGUGAGUAUAAAGUGGUAUCGAAGAUUAGCAGUUUGGAUUGUUCGGGGAUCUUUGUAACGUCUAGAGACCUACCGGUUGGGGCAAAAAGGACUUCG
rnacentral:lncRNA from 1 species